rnacentral:piRNA from 1 species
UGAAAUUAAAGGCUGAUGUGAAAAUAUGC